AGUGAACGCUGGCGGUAGGCCUAACACAUGCAAGUCGAACGGCAGCACAGUAAUAGCGUGCUCUUACGGGGUGCGGGUGGCGGACGUAUCAGGAAUACAACGGAAUCUACUCUUUCGGGGAGCAUAACGUAAGGAAACUUACGCUAAUACAGCAUCCGACCUACCGGUGAGAGCAGGGGAUCGUCGCACCUUGCGCGAUUGAAUGAGCCGAUGUCGGACUAGCUAGUUGGCGGGGUAAAUGCCCACGAAGGCGACGAUCCGUAGCUGGUGUGAGAGACUGAUCAGCGACACUGGAACUGAGACAGGGUCCAGAGGCCUACGAGAGGCAGCAGUGUGCAAUAUUGGACAGUGGGCGCGAGCCUGAUACAGCCAUCCCAAGUGGGUGAAGAAGGCGUUCGGGUUGUAAAGACCUUUUGUUGGGAAAGAAAAGCAGCAGGUUAAUACCACGCUGGUCUGACGGUAACCAAAGAAUAAGCACCGGCUAACUUCGUG
rnacentral:rRNA from 1 species